rnacentral:tRNA from 1 species
UCCUGGUAGCUCAGAUGGCAAAGAGUCUACCUGCAAUGCAGUAGACCUGGGUUCGAUCCCUAGAUCAGGAA